AGAGGCCCUCUGCAGCCGGGGCGGAACACUUGCCUCAUCACCAUGGCGAUAAAGCAAGCAUUCCGCCAGGCAGCUCACACUGCCUGC
rfam:Myotis davidii contig209916, whole genome shotgun sequence.